CGGCGUGGCUCGCGCGUGCGCAGCCGCCUGUGAGGGCGUGUGCCGUGUGGGAAUGUUACGUGAGGAAUGCAGAGACGGUGCUAAUUAAAACUCGCAUCUAAGCACUGGAGGGUGUUUACAAGAGCACGUAUUGACAGGACAAGGGAGAAUGGCUUCAAACGCAGCGAGAGUAGGUUUAGGUUAGUGUCCUGUGGGGCUGCAGCUUUGGGAGAUGACUGUCAUCAGAGAGUGGAAGCUUCUCCUGCUAAUUUCUGCACUCCUUUGCCCACUCCCAGCAGUGUUCUCCAGCUCCUUAACCGUGCCAGCCUCCAUCUAGCGCCUGAGGGACCCCCGCAGACAUGCAAAUUUAACCUCCUGAGCUAGCAAAAGAAAAAAAAAACAACAAAAAACCCACAAAAAAAUCACACAAAAAAACCUCCCAAACAAAGCCAGUGGGAAAACUGUCAUAUUCUACCGGAGUAAGAAAGGCUGAGGACCGUGUGACUGGAAUGGGGAUAAGAACAGACAGGGGAGGAGGAAGGGAAAGCCUUCCCCUUUUGGCAUGAGGGAGCUGCUAACAUUGACAGCUGCUUGUGAAACCGCAGCCUUAGGGCGGGCUGCCUAGUUACAGCAUUGAGCUCUUGAUCCCAGACUGGAUCCCAGCGGUCCUACCAGCACGGAGGUUUUACAGCCCCCUUUGGCAUUCAAACACGCUUCCCACCCUGCCCUCCUUUUUAUCAGACAUCUCAUCUGAGCAAGGAAGUGGUGACAGACAACCAAAAGGCAGGAGCUGCUUAACCUUUCACCGGUAAUUAACCUUGCAAGCACCGCUCCAGCCUCAGAAUGCCUCAGACAGGUGAGGUAAGGCCACACGGGAAGCUCAUUUAAACCAGUGGCUUUCUAAUCACUACAUAUACAGAACAUUUAAGGAACUGGAGGAGCAGCUGAGAUAGCACAGGGCUCCGAUUUUCCUCCUUUCAGCUGAUUCAAAAAGUCCCUCUAUCCUAGGAAGGAGGGACAAGCUGAUGUUUUCAUUUCCAGUAGAAGGAAUGAGACAAGAAAAUUGGAUCCUUAAGAGGAAGAGAUGCUUGCCAAUGAAGAACCUCUAUCUGCUUAGCAGAUUUUUCCUUUUCUUCUGUUGGAAUAAAAAUUAAACAACCACAACCCAAACCUAAAAAGUGGCUGAGAUAUUCCACAGCAGAUUGGCUGCAGUGGAGUUGCCUGGGGGGGACCCAGCAUGUAUGCUGGAGGUCAGUAGCACGUCCCCAGAGUGAGACUCUUGGGCUUUUUAUGCCUUCCUCUUUCUUAUUCAUUGCCUUGAGCAUGCCAAGGCUCUUUUUUACAAGCUGGCAUGCUGGGAUGAGAACCUCAGUAAGUGGCACAGGUUGAAGUGUGCCCGUGUGUUACAGCAACUCGAUGACUCAGGCAACAAAUGUUUCCUUUUUUUCCCUUGGGGUGAUGAUGCAUUGAGCUGAAGAAACCCGGGGAGAAGCAGAGUGCAGGGCCAAAAGUCUUCCUGGCAGAUGUGAGUCACUGGCGGGAGCCAGGUAGCUGCAGGAGUUGUAGGUGAAAGAGGCAGUCCCCCUCUGAAAUUCCUGUGUAGGUGGCACGUGGGACAGCAAGGAUUGGAAAAUGCCCUGGCUGCCUGGACUUAAAGAGCUUUACAAGGCAGUUAGUUGAAAAAGUAGGGGGGCACGUUUGAAAUGGGAGGAGAUAGACUUUGAAUAGUUGGUUUUCUUUUGGUGUUUUCCUUUUGCAGGGAAGCAGGAAAAAAAAUUGGGCUGGGACUUGUCCACUUUGCUUGCAUGCUGAAUAUGAGUUCGGUUUGGUUUUUGUUUGUUUGUUUGAUUUUUUUCUUUUUUUUCCCCAGGGGAAGAGGGGAACAGGAAUAAAAAAUCCCUGCAGAUAGCUACAUCUGGAGGGAAGGCUGGUGUAGUUGGCUUACAGAGAUUUGGGUUUGGGACAGAGAGUCGAUACACGUGUGAGUGGUACACAGGGGUCUAGACCAUUGCAGAAAAAGGGGAGGAGGCUGUUGUCUGAAACAUUUGGGAGCUGCUGAGAUAAAGUAAGCUGCUCCAUUCUGUUGGUUUGAAGUGCUCAAACAGUUGACUAUGAGAUCUCAGCUGGAAAUUGCAAAUUGCAGCAUGGAGAAAGUAAAGAGAAGCUUCCUGAACCACAUCUGGGGAGUAAUUCUUGAAUGUGGAGCCCUUUUCCAAUCUCUGUAAUAAUGAGUCUAGGCCUCGGAGUGACUGCACUCUGAAACAGAGUCAGCGUGUUGGUACCUGAAGUGUGACACUCAGUGCCACAUUGACAGGACCAUGUUGACAUGCCUGGAGUCACUGAUGCUUUAUUGGCAUUUUCUUGACACCAGCUCCUGUGGAGUUGUAGACUAUCAUCCACAGCCUUUUCUGUUAAGUAUUUUAAAUGGUACUGUUAUGUGUCUUGGUUUCUGAAAAGAGCAUUAAUUCUUCCAUUCAGUGUGUAAUGUAUACCAUGGAUUCAUUUCUCUGUAUUCAAAGAACCAUAUUUACCUAUUGGAAGUUUUCAGGUUUUUAAAGUAUAUUCUUUUUUUUUGUUUUGUUUGGGUUUUGUUUUGUUUGGGGUUUGUUUUUGUUUGUUUGUUUGUUUUUUGUUUGUUUGGGGGUUUUUUGUUGUUGUUGUUUUGGGUGUUUUGUUUUUGUGGGUUUUUUUUUUUUGUUUGUUUUGUUUUUUGGUUUGGUUUUUUUGCCAGGAGUGGACAUAGUAAAUUACACCUUAAAGUCUUGGUCUUUAUGAUCUGGUGCUAAGACAGCUGAGGCCACGAAUGGCUCUUGGGUGACUGAAGGCCUCACAGAGAAAAAGAACUGUACUAUGCAUUGACUCCAAGGGAGAAAUGAGAAGAGGUGGAUGUUCUGGAGCAUGUAUGUUAUAUGUCCUGUCUUAGUCAGGAGGGUGGAACUAGAUAAUCUUUAGAGGACCCCACCUUCAAAGAAGCUUCAACUUCAGCUACUUUAGAAUUCUGAACUAGGAAAAAAGUUUUUUUAAGAGGUAGGUGUCUGCAGCCUUUGUCGCUUGGAAUUUCAUUUUUGUUCUACUCCAUUUUUUCAGUAAUGAGUACAUUGAGAACUAACAACUUUCUCCCACCUUCAGCAUUACCUAUCCCUGUUGAUGCCUGGGUACUCAGAUCACAUGAAAAGCCAAAUAAAGACCCUGUGGAUUCACACUGUUUUGAGUAGAGUGCACACUGUGGACUUUGGCUCACUUCAUAAAAACUGUAUGUGAGGUAUGAAGUUACUACACAGCAAAAAUGUUUAUGGCACUUGCUUCUAGCUUGUGUGUACCCUUUAAGAUCUGAGGUGUCUGAAUUUUUUGUUCCAGAAAAUCUGACUGGGAAAGCUUGAAGAUACCCAUAUUAAAAUUUGAUUGUUACCACCUUGCACACUGUGCUUUUUCCCUAAUGGGGUACAAGGACACUGUAUAUUGGUGGGGGGAACACCAGCUUUACAGAUUUUUGCUUGAUGUAGCUUUAAAGAUAAAUGUCUCAUGGAGAUCUGUAUAGGGAUCAGACAUAAAUUAAGACAGUGCAGAGAGACAGAAAUUCUGGCAUUAAUCAUAAUACUUUUAUUUAAACAGUAAGGUGUGAUUUAAUGUAAGUGGUUUUAUUUUUAUUAAUACUAUAUGCUGAAUUUUGAACAGUACUGUACCUAAACAAUUUUACAAAUAUAACACUAAAUACACUUUUUAUUGCUCUUUUUUUUGCAUGAACAUAAAACCUGGAAAUGAAUACAAGAAUAAAUAAGGCACCCUACUAAUAUACUAUUUUUCUGUAUUGUAGUAGCAUGCAAAAAAUUUCAUUUUGCUUUUGCAAGUCACCUUCCUCAUUUUUCUUAUUAGAGAAAAAGUAAGAGUACAUUAUUUGGGGAAGUGCAUGUUUGAAAAGUCAAAACUUGAAAGCACUUUUUAAUUUUCUUAAUUCAACAGUCUACCUUACAAAACAGCUCUCGUAUAGCAUGUCCUAAUUUCUUUUUCUAAAGACAAAAAGUAUUUUUGUUCUUCCUUUGCUGUUACUAGGAAACAUGCCUUGCAAGAGGAGUGUUCACGUACUGCUUGAGACAAAAGACCUGACUUGCUUUUUUUAGCUGCAUUUUCUUCUUGUACUGACCCCACUCAAAAGAUAAAAAUAAAAAUGCAGAGGCAUCUUUCCUGACUUCUUGUAUGUGGCUGGGCCCAAAUCAGUGAUCAGCAAAAGAUGGGAGCUCCACAGAUGCUGCUUAAGGGCCUAUUCUAAAUUUCAGUAUGCCCUAAAUUAGGGCUUCUCAACAGUUUCAGAAUACAUUCUGUCCAAGUGUCCUUUCUCCACACUGGCUGUCACUCUGUCAGGGCUCAGGAGAACAGCGAUGCCUCAGCCACCCUCACAAACUUGUAAGCUGCUAGGGCAGAACUUGAUUUGCAGUGGCUUCAGUGAUUUGACAACCUACUGCCAAAAUGGUGACAAAUGAUAAAAUAAACAAACCAGAGGCACAA